rnacentral:rRNA from 1 species
AUUGAACGCUGGCGGCAGGCCUAACACAUGCAAGUCGAACGAGUGGGGACGGGUGAGUAACACGUGGGUAACCUCCCAUCAGAGGGGAUAACACUUGGAAACAGGUGCUAAACCCAUACUGAUGGAUGGACUCGUGGUGCAUUAGCUAGGUGGUGAGGGAACGGCUCACGAAGGCCACGAUGCAUAGCCGACAUGAGAGGGUGAUCGGCCAGACUGGGACUGAGACACGGCCCAGACUCCUACGUGAGGCAGCAGUAGGGAAUCUUCGGCAAUGGACGAAAGUCUGACCGAGCGACGCCGCGUGAGUGAAGAAGGUUUUCGGAUCGUAAAACUCUGUUGUUAGAGAAGCGGUAUCUAACCAGAAAGCCACGGCUAACUACGUGCCAGCAGCCGCGGUAAUAC